rnacentral:rRNA from 1 species
CCCUUAGAUGUUCUGGGCCGCACGCGCGCUACACUGAUGCAUUCAACGAGUUUCUUCCUGGUCCGAGAGGAAUGGGUAACCUUUUGAAAGUGCAUCGUGAUAGGGAUAGACUAUUGCAAUUAUUGGUCUUCAACGAGGAAUUCCUAGUAGACGUAGUUCAUCAGACUGCAUCGAUUACGUUCCUGCCCUUUGUACACACCGCCCGUCGCUCCUACCGAUUGGAUUGGCUGGUGAAGCGUUCGGAUUGUGGGUUCGGAGCGGUUCGCCGUUCUGGGCUUGCGAGAAGUUCGUUAAACCCUCCUAUCUAGAGGAAGGAGAAGUCGUAACA